rnacentral:rRNA from 1 species
CAGCAGCCACGGUAACACGAAGGGUGCAAGCGUUACUCGGAAUUACUGGGCGUAAAGCGUGUGUAGGUGGUUGUUUAAGUCUGUCGUGAAAGCCCUGGGCUCAACCUGGGAAUUGCGAUGGAUACUGGGCGACUAGAGUGCAGUAGAGGAUAGUGGAAUUUCCGGUGUAGCAGUGAAAUGCGUAGAGAUCGGAAGGAACAUCUGUGGCGAAGGCGACUAUCUGGGCCAACACUGACACUGAGACACGAAAGCGUGGGGAGCAAACAGGAUUAGAUACCCCUGUAGUCCCUGUCUCUUAUAC